UGAAAAGCCAAGGCCGAAGAGAUGCAAACAAACCCAACAAAGAAACUUGGUCCAAAAGAAUCUAGAGUUCUUUAGAAAGCUUCUUAAAGAAACUUUGAGAGAACCCACCUAGCCCGGUCACAUCUGCGCCACUAGCAACCAAAAGGCACACCCAACUACCGCCAACGCACAACACUCGAGACUGCAGCCCACUCAUCGCCUCCCGCCACAUAAGGAAGCAACAAGUCUCACUCUGGUCGAACCACCAUAGAACUUCCCCAAAGAUUGCUGCAAGGAGAGGACAACAGAACAGGCUUUCAAAGGGGGAGGCGCUAGAUGACAACGGACAUCUACCAUAUAUGGCUUUUUUAAUCCUUAACCGAAUGUCGAUGUUAGGACCAAACAGACCUCCAAGCCUCAGUCCUUGUCAUAGCCAUCCUCAACCAAACACAAAUAAAUCCAUUGUAAAAACCCUCAAGAGAAAACCCAUAGAUAUGCAAAUCCG
rnacentral:misc_RNA from 1 species